rnacentral:misc_RNA from 1 species
AUGAAACAGCAAAGUUUGUACAACUUCAAACUGGAAUGUGAUAGCAUAUUUCAUGAUCCAUGUGGGAUUCAAUGAAUUAAGAACUACUUCAGUGCGGAAAACUUCAGUAGGUGGUCCAUCUUUUGCUUUUGUAUAAACAACCACCAUAGGAUCACUCUUAGAUAGCACAUCCCGGUCGCGCAACUUUGUAGCCGAAAAUGAUAGCUCGAUCUGAAAAAAGAUGCCGUGGAAACCACGAGACUUGAAAUAGUAAUCGAUGGCAUCAUUCGCAGCAGCAGCAGCGCCGCCACCGGCUGCACUGGAGGUGCCACCGACAGCCGCCUUUCCACCGGCCUCAUCGGAGAAGCAAUUCCCCAUCCCACCUCCUCCAAAAACAACUAAGCAGCAGAGCUCCAAAAAAAUAUGUGUAAUU